UACGUAGGGGGCAAGCGUUGUCCGGAAUUAUUGGGCGUAAAGAGCGUGUAGGCGGCUCGAUAAGUCUGCUGUGAAAGUCCAGGGCUCAACCCUGGAAGGCCGGUGGAAACUGUCGGGCUAGAGUCCGGAAGAGGCGAGUGGAAUUCCCGGUGUAGCGGUGAAAUGCGCAGAUAUCAGGAGGAACACCAAUGGCGAAGGCAGCUCGCUGGGACGUUACUGACGCUGAGACGCGAAAGCGUGGGGAGCAAACAGG
rnacentral:rRNA from 1 species